rnacentral:lncRNA from 1 species
CUUUUCAAACAUCUCCCCCAUCCUUCACUGUUCAUCCCUUUCUAAGUACUCAGAAGCAGUUGGGGGCUAGGCUCUGGGACAGUCUGCAGGGACAGCGUGGUGACAAAGCAGACAGGGGCCUGCUCUUAGUGGCAUUGUUUAAUUGUCCUGCUCACCAAGGGAUGGCAGCAGCCUGAGGAAGCACCCCCAGGAGCUGGAGACGGAUUGCAAGGCUCAGGGAAGGUUCUGGAGAGCUUUCCCUGCACCAGGCCUGGUGCUCCCUAUGUUCACAUGGGUAAAAUACAUAUUAGCAGAUGUUUCUAUCCCCAGCUUAGUUGAGAACAGGCUGUGGGGGAGUCAGCCUGGGAGCCAGACCUCUUAGCAGGAGCACACACUCCUAGUCCUGAGCUUGGGAGUGGAGCGACUCCUCCCUGGGGGGCGAGGGGACAGCCCCCUCUCUGUGCCCUCCACACGUCUGUCCCUCCCCUACUGUCAUCCCAGGUCCACCAUGAGGAUUGGUAAUUGAGAGCCCAGAGGCAGACUUGUUCCACCCAGGAAGGUAGCUCUUUAAAUCCUGUCGGCUCCAGCCAUUUUUCACAGGAGGACACUGCAGGUCGAGAAUUCAGAGGGCUUCUCAAAGACACAUAGUAAUUAAAAGGCAGGCCCGGGACGUGGACCAGAUCUUUUGACUGCAAAUUCUAUACUCACGCUACUGAGUCAGAAAAGCCAGGAUGCCAGCAAAAGAAAACUGUGUGUGAGGAGAAGGAAUGCCAGACACAAACUCUUUGGGAGACACUGACCCUGACUUUGUCCCAGAGCUGGAGAGGUGGCUCAAGAUGUACUUGCUUGGUUUUGGCCUGCUUAUGGCACAGGAUGCAAACAAUCAUUUUACUUGUAAAUGGGAUGAAGGGGCAGAGAGAGAGAAGAUAAUAGAAGGGAAUGUGGAAGAUCUGGGCCAAGGCGGGAUGAGGAAAAGCAUGUGUGGGCAUGUAGAGGAGAGGCAGAGGAGCUGGCUAUGAAGGAGAAAGGAGGAGAGGGCCCUGUGACCCAGUCUCUCUCUCUCUCUCUCUCUCUCUCUCCACACACACACACACACACACACACACAUUCUUUUUCUGACAUUAUCUUCCAUCAUGCUCCAUCACAAGUGACUAGAUAUAGUUCCCAGUUCUAUACAGCAGGAUCUCAAUGCUUAUCCAUUCCAAAUGCAAUAGUUUGCAUCUAUUAACCCCAGAUGCCCAGUCCAUCCCACCCCUUCCCCCUUGGCAACCAUGAGUCUGUUCUCCAAGCCCAUAAGUUUCUUUUCUGUGGAAAGGUUCUUUUGUGCCAUAUAUUAGAUUCCAGAUAUAAGUGAUAUCAUAUGGUAUUUGUCUUUCUCUUUCUGACUUGCUUCACUUAGUAUGAGAGUCUCUAGUUCCAUCCAUGUUGCUGCAAAUGGCAUUAUUUUGUUCUUUUUAUGGGUGAGUAGUAUUCCAUUGUGUAUAUAUAUCACAUCUUCUUAAUACAUUCACCUGUUGAUGGACAUUUAAGUUGUUUCCAUGUCUUGGCUAUGUGAAUAGUGCUGCAAUGAACAUCUGGGUGCAUGUGUCUUUUUCAAAGAAAGUUCUGUCUGCAUAUAUGCGCAAGAGUGGGAUUACUGGGUCAUAUGGUAGUUCUAUAUUUAGUUUUCUGAUAUACCUCCAUAAUCUUCUCCAUAGUGGUUGUACCAAUUUACAUUCCCACCAACAGUGUAGGAGGGUUCCCUUUUCUCUACACUCUCUCCAGCAGAUGUUAUUUGUAGACUUAUGAAGACCAUCCAUCACAGAGGGACAGAGGUGGGAGGGAGCAGCUGAUGGAGGGGCCAGGAAACCCUCACCACCACACCGUGUCUGUUAACUCAGGAAGUCCCAAAUCCUAGAAGAAUCACACGACAUCCCUUCUUGCCAGUCAUAUGCUGUCAAUGGUCAAGUUGUUCAUAAACAGCUGUUUGUAGUUAGCAAAGGUCUCCUCUUUAUUCUCCUAUCCAUUAAUCAUGUGGCCAGUUAUUCAUGUAAAUUCUCAAUCUGUCAAAACCAAGAGAACAUGGAUUUCCAUCGUGGCUCAGUGGUUAAUGAACCCAACUGGCAUCCAUGAGGACACGGGUUCGAUCCCUGGCCUUG